CGGCCGCGUCGACGGCCCACCUAGUCGACGAUGGAUAGGGGUUCUGAGAGGAAGGUCCCCCACAUUGGAACUGAGACACGGUCCAAACUCCUACGGGAGGCAGCAGUGAGGAAUAUUGGUCAAUGGACGAGAGUCUGAACCAGCCAAGUAGCGUGAAGGAUGACUGCCCUAUGGGUUGUAAACUUCUUUUAUAAGGGAAUAAAGUGCGCCACGUGUGGUGUUUUGUAUGUACCUUAUGAAUAAGCACCGGCUAACUCUGUGCCAGCAGCCGCGGUAAUACAGAGGGUGCAAGCGUUAAUCGGAAUUACUGGGCGUAAAGCGAGCGUAGGUGGCUUGAUAAGUCAGAUGUGAAAUCCCCGGGCUUAACCUGGGAACUGCAUCUGAUACUGUUAGGCUAGAAUAGGUGAGAGGAAGGUAGAAUUCCAGGUGUAGCGGUGAAAU
rnacentral:rRNA from 1 species